rnacentral:rRNA from 1 species
AGAGUUUGAUCCUGGCUCAGAUUGAACGCUGGCGGCAUGCCUUACACAUGCAAGUCGAACGGCAGCACGGGGGCAACCCUGGUGGCGAGUGGCGAACGGGUGAGUAAUACAUCGGAACGUGUCCUGUAGUGGGGGAUAGCCCGGCGAAAGCCGGAUUAAUACCGCAUACGCUCUACGGAGGAAAGGGGGGGAUCUUAGGACCUCCCGCUACAGAGGCGGCCGAUGGCAGAUUAGCUAGUUGGUGGGGUAAAGGCCUACCAAGGCGACGAUCUGUAGCUGGUCUGAGAGGACGACCAGCCACACUGGGACUGAGACACGGCCCAGACUCCUACGGGAGGCAGCAGUGGGGAAUUUUGGACAAUGGGGGCAACCCUGAUCCAGCAAUGCCGCGUGUGUGAAGAAGGCCUUCGGGUUGUAAAGCACUUUUGUCCGGAAAGAAAACGCCGUGGUUAAUACCCGUGGCGGAUGACGGUACCGGAAGAAU